rnacentral:lncRNA from 1 species
CCCGCUCCACCAUGGAAGAAGGUGCUUGCUUCCUCUUCACCCUCUGCAAUGGUUCUAAGUUUCCCCAGGUCUCCCCAGCCAUGCCUCCUGUACAGCCUGUGAAACUGGGUUGAUUAAACCUCUUUUCUUUAUAAAUUACCCAGUCUUAGGUAGUUCUUUAUAGCAGUGUGAGAAUAGACUAAUACAGAAAAUUGAUACCAGAGAAGUGGGGCAUUGAUAUAAAGAUACCUGAAAAUGUGGAAGUGACUUUGGAACUGGGAAAUGGACAGAGGUUGGAACAGUUUGGAGGGCUCAGAGGAAGAUAGGAAGAUGAGGGAAAGUUUGGAACUUCCUAGAGACUUGUUGAAUGAUUGUGACCAAGAUGCUGAAAAUGACAUGAACGGUGAAAUCCAGGCUGAGGUGGUCUCAGACAGAGGAACUUAUUAGGAACUGGAGUAAAGGUCACUCUUGCUAUACUUUAGCAAAGAGACUGGCAGGCAUUGUGCCCCUGCUCUAAAGAUUUGUGGAACUUUGAACUUGAGAGAGAUGAUUUAGGGUAUCUGGCAGAAGAAAUUUCUAAGCAGCAAAGUAUUCAGGAUAUGGCCUGGCUGCCUCUAACAGCCCACAUUUAUUUGUAUAAACAAAGAAGUGACCUGAAACUAGAACUUAUAUUUAAAAGGGAAGCAGAGCAUAAACGUUUCAAAAAUUUUCAGCCUAAACAUGCAAUAGUAAAGAAAAACCUAUGUUCUGAGGAGGAAUUCAAGGCUGUAGAAAUUUGCAUAAGUAAAGAAGAGCCGAAUGUUAAUAGCCAAGACAAAGGGGAAAAUGCCUCCAGGGCAUUUCAGAGACCUUAGCGGCAGCCCCUCCCAUCACAGGCCCGGAGGCCUAGGAGGGAAAAAUGGUUUCAUGGGCCAGGCCCAGGACCCUACUUCUCUGUGCAGCCUUGAGACAUGAUGCCCUGCAUCCCAGCCACUCCAGCUCCAGCCAUGGCUAAAAAGAUCCAAGGGGUCCAAGACUGGUGCCCAAGUCCUGACUGAGCAAGCCCAAGCAGCCUGUGUCACUGAGUUGGAGGGCGCCAUUGACGUAAUAACUUGAAACGCCCAUGAAAUUCAUCUUGGAAGUUCCCACCCAGGGAAGGAAGGGGAAGCAUUCAUCCACCGGCUCCUCAUGGCCUGCAGGUCAAAGUUGCUCCGCAGGUGUUAACGCUCCCACACUUUCAGAUUGGGAGUAGCUUCUUGCAGCUGGCUCAUGGCAGGGCUUCAGAAAAGCCACACGGCAGGAAUCUAGCUGCCAAGGGGAACCUGGAGGCCAAGGAGCACCUGCACUUAGCUGAUCAAAGCAAUGACUGGAAGAAGAGGUAGGGCCAAGGGGACUGAAGAGAUGCCAGAGAUGCACUGCAGAAGCACUGAGCCUGUCUCCAGAAUCAUCCUUCAGAGCAUCCAACUAUGGCAUCGUAUGUGUGUUUAACUAUACCUAAGAAAGAGACAGAAAGGAAGAGAUGGGGCGGGAAAAGGGAGGGAAUGGGAAGGAAAGAAAAAUGUCUUUGUUAACUCUAUUAGUCUUUCUUAGCCAAGUACAUUUUCUUCACUGCCCCAAGGAAAGAGGUCACAGCUAAAUGCAAAGAGAAAAUACAAGUAGUUAAUUCUCAGCAUUUGAGCUUCCAGUGGCUUUGACGGAUUGACCGCUUAAUGGAACUGCUUUAGGUAAUUUUUUUUUUUCAAAAUUAAUUUUAGGCCAGACAUGGUAGUUCAUGUCUUUAAUCCCAACAGUUUGGGAGGCCGAGGCAAGAGGAUCACUUGAGGACAGGGGUUCAAGACUAGCCUGGGCAACAUAGCGAGAUGCCCACUCUACAAAAAAUAAAAAAUUUAGCCAAGUGUGGUGACAUGCAUGUGUAGCCCUAGAUACUGCAGAGGCUGAGGCAGGAGGAUUGCGUGAGCCUAGGCUAUGAG